rnacentral:lncRNA from 1 species
CCCGUGUAAUCAGUUAUGUAAUUCAACACAUGUCAAACGGUUAAUUGAUUUUCGCCACAUCAAAGAAAAACGGUCAACGUGUCUAAAUAAUGUUGAAUAUCUCCUUUAUUUGUGAUUAUUUUUCUAUAAAAAUUGAAAUUUAUGCAUUAAUAUCAAUCUCUAACAUAAUUUGUAAAAAUAAUACGUAUAACAGCAGUCUUUCUAGUCCUUAGUGGCAUUGUAUAGUCCUUAGUGCACUAAGGACUCC